CAGUCGCCGCGGUAAUACGAAGGGUGCAAGCGUUAAUCGGAAUUACUGGGCGUAAAGCGUGCGCAGGCGGUUUGUUAAGACAGAUGUGAAAUCCCCGGGCUCAACCUGGGAACUGCAUUUGUGACUGGCAGGCUAGAGUAUGGCAGAGGGGGGUGGAAUUCCGCGUGUAGCAGUGAAAUGCGUAGAUAUGCGGAGGAACACCGAUGGCGAAGGCAAUCCCCUGAGCCUGUACUGACGCUCAUGCACGAAAGCGUGGGGAGCAAACAGGAUUAGAUACCCCAGUAGUCCCUGUCUCUUAUAC
rnacentral:rRNA from 1 species